UCGACUCGGACUGAAAUUUACAUUUUUUGUUACUAAUAUUUACUCUACUAUUGGAAGUUGAAUAUGAAACAUAAAAAAUAUCGUUUUUUCGACGAUUUAUGAUCUAGCAUUCGUUACAAACAGUUUUAUUAUUAUCCGAAGUAAAUUAUUUAUCAUGAGUGCAUUUCUUAGAACUUCAGCUUUUCAAUAUUCUUUCCCAAUUAAAUUAAUUAAUUUACUAAUUAUUACCGUUGUCUGUCUUUUUACCAAAACAAAAAUACAAAACUCAUAACGUUAGCUUGGCGAGAAUGCAAUGUGGAAAUACAACCGCUAGUGUCAUUGGAAAAAAUUCUGGAAGAUAAAUUUGUGUUUUCCUUACUUUAAACAGAAACUGAUAUUUCCAGUGACGAAAUUGUGCGAUGGACAGCAGGUGUGUUUUUGUUUAGAAUAACUUGAAGAAAGCUGCAUUGACUCAGUGAAUUAAUCGCAUCUGUCACAUUCCUGACUGAACGAAUGAUUGGACGUAGAGGAGACACCCUUGACCAACUCGCGAACAAGACGAGCUUAACGAUCAGUUUUAAAAAAAUCAUUGCUUGAAGAGAAAGAAAAAUGAAUAUCAUUGUUUGGACAUGGGCCGUUGAUCAACAUUGUUUUCGUGAAUUGUUUUAGCGAUGUGCCUUAUGCGAAUGGAAGGGAGUAGUUACUGCUGUAUGACUACAUUGUUUAGUAACCGUACGGUCAAUUUUUCAUGCCACCGUAGGGCACCAAAUUGUGAAUGCGCUUUCACGCCUGAUUAGUCAUGCAUUCCACGUAAAUUACGUCAGACAUCCGCAGAAUAAACCGCAAAAACCACAUCCGAAACCAAAGCCCGACAAAAUUUUUGUUUAACAAAACGGUUGACUAGAUAAUUUAUUCAUUAGACUACACCAACCUAUUCGCAUUGGUACUUGUAUGAAUACUUACAGUAUACCCGUUGGGAUAAAAAUAACCGAAUCCGUAUCUAAUUAUGUUUGAGGUUUUUUGAUGGUACCGGUUGAGACCAAAAUAACCAACGUGUGAAAAACAAAUCUUUGUAUUGAUUAAAAAAGAGGUUUAGAAUAAACCAGAAUCCACGAUUACUAUAGACAUUGCUUAUCUCUCGCUUGGAAUUAUAAAUAGGACACAGCUUUUCAGGCGAAGUUAUGGUCGAACUGGAGCCAGGAUCAAUUUGAUUUUUAGCCUGAUUAUGCAUUAAGUCUUACAAAGAAGCAUAAAAUUUGUAAUGUUUUUCUUUGUUUUGGAUACGAAUUUCGUCAAAAAGUCGUGACAACUUCGGUGGUCGUACGUUUUGAUGUAAAGAUAUUACACCACCUCAAUAGUUCAAUACAAUAUCAAAAUAUAAACACAUGACGUGUCUGAUUUGGAAACUGGUUAAAUAUUUUUAAUUAUUGCCAAACGACGUUAUCAAUGUCAUGCAUUGAACUUUCCGUUUGUCACACGUUUUCACAUUAAAUGAUUAAUCAACUGCAAUAGUUUAUUUUGGUUUUAAAAAUUCCUUCGAUAUUUUUUAUGCCCCAAAGAUAAAACUUUGGUAAAAAUGAUCGCGUUGUAUUUCAUUCUGUGAUUGCCAUCAACGUUUUCUCCGAAAUUCACUGAAAGAUAUUUGAUAGUUUAGUCAUCAAUACAGCCUCGUAAAUGAUAGCAUUUUAUCGUAUGCGGCCAGAAGGUGGUGAAGAAAUUCAGUCUCACGACACCAAGUUCAAAUCUGACACAAAUGUUGCAUUUUGAGGGGCAGUGAGAGCACACCGAGAAAGAGAGUGCAAGCGUGGGGGGGAGAGAGUGUCAGUGGUAGUAUCGUUCCUGUAAAGAUACUAUUUUGCAAUUGUUACUAAAUCAUUUAAAAUUUCAGUUUACCCAAUCAGGUGCGAGUAAAAAUGAUUUCCAAACAAUUGGAAAUAAAGAAAAUAAAACAGCACCAAUUUGUAACGAUUAUCCUCGAUUAAGUGUUUGGAAACUCGAUACAUGGAAUAAAAAUGAACAAAUUACGGAUCAGAUCCAAUUGUUUUUCUAUGGGGUUGAAUUCGUUCAUCAUUGAAUUACAUCAAAAUAAAACAAUGUUGCUUCCAAAGUGGCGCGAAAAUACGAAAUUAAGCUUCGUUUUCUCAUGCCUAUCUUUUCCGAAAGCUUAAUCCCUAAUCUCAUUAGGGUUCGAUUCUUCCUAUCGGCCUCUCAAAUUACAUUUAGCAGCAAUAAAUGAAGUUUUGAUGUAUCUUAUGUCAAGUAUGGAUAUGACAUGAACUUAUCUUAAUAAAACGAGUAUUACCAUUACGCCAUACUUGGAUUCCUUACCUCAUAAACGUAAAUAAAUCACUUUGUGACGUCACACAUUAAGCUAUUUGGUGAUUUGUUGUUGUGUAUAUACGCUGUAUACAGGCAACUUAACUCGGCCUCGCUUCAUUUCCAUAUGGGGUAAGCAUUCGAUACCCCAUAUAAACUGAUGCGUAACCCAUUUUACGGUUUAACCCACUUGAGAGGGAGCUCCAAACUCUUGGGCCCGCAUUAAGCUGUCGCAACACACUGUAGAAGAUUGUCCCUCAAGUGGCCAGUCACGUUAUUCACUGCGGAGAAAUUUUAAAGUAAGACAGGGGGUUAAUACUGUUUGCUUGCUGCGGAACUGGGUCGGGUAUCGCGUUUCCCUCUUUUGACAGCGAUCUACAUUUCUUUUGCACGGGUGACUAAGCACCAAUUAUCCUCUGACUGGUGUUAUUCGCGUUGUGUUAUUCUUCACGAAUAGUAAGUAGUGCUAGUAUUCGUUCCAAAAUGGCCGGGAUUGAGGUCAAUACAGAAAUUUAUUUGUCUAUUUUUAAAUUUAAAUUGUUUACUAGAAUAUUCAUAGAUGAAUUUCGAAUUAAAACAUAGUAAAAAAAUAUUCAUUAUUCCGAGAGUUACACUUGAGGUAAUCAAACAAAAAGACAGUGCUAUAGAACUCAUUAGCGGAAUAGAACGAAUGUGCAUUUGUGUAUCUCUCAAGUUGUACAGACGUAAACCUCAAGACUGUUUCAAUAAUGGUGUUUUAUGCAUCGCAUGGUUUGUAACCCUUGACCCUAUAGCUUCCGGGAAAUAAUUGAUGUAUAGUCGUUUUCAAAACACAUUAUUAUGUAUUUGGGUCAUAUUGUCAACAACAAAUGAAAUAGUUUAGGAAUGGUGUAGUUGGAGUGAACAUUUGAAGUGGAAUUAAUGUUACCACUUAUUGAUUACGUGAAUAAUUUCAUCGGAAGACAUCAGCCUACAUUCUGGAUAGCAAACAGAUAGUUUACCUACGUCGUAUUCGACUAGAAAACCAUGUAAUUCAAGCAACAUCACCUCCCGCCAACAGAUGUAUUGUGAUAUAAAUACCCGCAUUGUUUGUUUCCAACCUAACGCGAUAAAAAUCUAUUAUUUUAUAGAAAAUAUAUAUUUGAAAGCUUACGAAAUCCUCGGAAUUUUUUAAUCGCUCGCUAACAAUCGGUUAGCAUGUUGUAAUUAAGACAAUGGAAACGAAAGUCGGAACAAAACGCACAAUUGGUGGCAAGUCGUGAAGGCGAUUGUUUUAAAACCCGUUAUUUGUAUUAUCAUGCUUUUAUUUUAAAUUUUCCCAAUAUAAUCAGAAAUACUUGAUUAUACAAUUGAGAUUGACUAAGAAGUGGGAUUACUAUUCAGGAAGCAAAUGACAGACAGGAUUGUGGCUUUAAAUUUUUAAUUUGUAUGUGUAUUAAAUUUUUUGUUCAAAAAAAAUGGUAGAACGACCUUUAGUGACCCCACUGACGUAAUUUUCUGAAGGCGAUGGUCGGCACAGUAUUUCUGCGGAUUGGACUGUAAUGCUAUCAAAAACUUCCCUUGAGUGGAUGCUAUUCACGAUUCCGGACUGAAAAAAAUUGUGAUGCUUUUAACUGUAGAUUCCUUACGUAUUCAAAAAAAACUUUAAAAGUAAUUAUACAAAAAACUUUUGCCGAUUGCAAGUUUUCAUUCGUUUCAAUUAAAAAGUGGACGAAAGCAAACGAUUGUAAAAUAAAACGAGAAAGCGAUGCUUAAAUAUAUAGACACGAAGGUCAAGACAAACUAGUACGGGUAUCGCACACGAAAGAACGAAUCCCUUGGAGUCCACAGUAAUUUUCGAAAUAAAUAGGAAUAAUGGCCAUAUAGCGAAAAAUACAAUCUUCAAUCACUGAAAAUUCCAACGCAAAUAAUACAUUGGUUAAUAGUUAAUGAGAAAAGCGAUUUCCCCAUAACAACAACAUAAUUAAAAGACAACAUGCGCAAGGGAAAAAAACUGUAAAUGAAGAUAGAAAAGUUGAGGGGUAAUAUAAUAAUAUAUUAUGAUAGAAACAGAGUUAUGGAAACGAAGCGAAAAUGUGUUUUUUUAUCUGUUAUUUCUUGAAAAUCGACAAUAAACAACCGUGAUUUUUGCGGUCAUGAGUUCCGGUUGUGUGAGAAAAACAAUAACGAAGUGAUCAUAAACAACUCGAUGUUACGAUUUUAUUCUAAGAUAAUAUUUAAACAUUUAUGUUGACAAACGAUUGUUCACUUAUACUUUGUGAGCGUUUCACAUUUUCCUCAUUAAAAUUGAGUAUGGAUAACCAUCACUAAACGUAACAAACCCAUAAUAAAAAAAUGCUCUGAUUGAAAGUUAAGUUUAUAUUUAACAAGGUUCAGCAUUUAUAUUAGGCAGUGAUAGCACAUUUUUUUUCUUCAGUACUGGAAAAUACCAAAAGUCCAAAAGAUUCUGCUGGGGCAGAAUAAGCUUGUUUGAAAAAUCCACUGACAAUCUGUAGAAUAGUAAAGUUAUUAUUGAUGCGUUUUCAUUGUAAUUAAACUUUAUAUUCGCUCUGCUACGGCUAGUGUGUGAUUUGUCAAAAUGACAAUUUUCGAACAUGUUUUUUUCUAUCGUCACAAUUACUCCGAAAUAUUCUCAAAUUUACCAUUUUUUCAAAAAAAAAAAAUGUAAUUAAACCACAGAAACCAGAUACAUUUGUGCAACUUACAGGUUUAAAUAUUGGUUUUGUGGCAACGAAAUACCAUGCAUUGCUGAGGUACUAUUUAUUUUGCAGCGCCGGCUGCAACAUUUUGACGAAGUUGCUUCCGACCAAAAUCCGCUUGUACAAAAGAAUAAUUAUACGGUUAUGUAGUUACCAAACUUAAUUUUAAUUCUUUACGUGAAUGCAAAACAAAUCAUAAAAAAGUGUGAUCACGUGACAUCGAUUCGAAGAUAUUUAGUCACGUGAUGUAGAUAUCAUAUAUCUAUUACACCGUUUGUAAAGGACUAUUUCUGAAUGACUAAAUAUGAGUAAAGAAUCGGUUUCAAAGACAAUGGAUUCUGUAUUGACCACGCUAUCUCUGCAGUUCAAAGAGUUUCUCUCCGCGUCUACAUAUUUCGAACAUGCUUAUCUGGAUUGGUACACGAAGCGCUUUGAUAUAACAGCUUGGGUUGAAUAUGAUAUCCAAUUUGUUUUUUGCUGACCAAGUAUGGUCCACGAAACAUUCACUACUAUUUAAAAUAUGCGUGCAGAAAUAUAUUUAGCCUAUGCGGAAAGCAGCGCCAAUUACCAUGCUUGGGACAUACUUAGGCGAUGGAGGAAGACAUCUUUAGGCUAAUAACAUAUCACGUGACAUAUUGUGAAUGGGACCUGUUGUACUAGACGUGUUUUUAUGUUUUGUAUUGGUACAAUAUUACAUGUCGACAUACAUUUACAUCCGUGGGAAUUGGUCCAUCUAAAAUUAUGCUACAGGGUGUGGCAGGGGAGUGUGGGGACGUGAGCAGUUCAACUGUGAAUAAAUUAAAUAGGUGAAAUUAAUUGAUAAAUACAGAGGUACUCCAAUUUUAUUUACCUAAUUUGGGAACGAUAUACUGAAGUUGUCGGUUAUGUCCUCCAGAAGGUCCAAAAUCUUGAGGGCCAGGAAGAAAGAAAGAGAACGUUGCCAGAAUGGAUGAAUCCAAAUUAAUGAGUCGUGUGUUCAAAGUAUGUUUUACUGAAUUUGUGAAUGUUAGCUUGAGGUGUUUCCUGUGCUUGCUCUUAAUACGGUUUCUUGCAAGCAGUCACAAGAAUACGGGAUUUUCAAAUGCAAAAAUCUUCAUUGAUAACGACUUCUUAUAGGUAAAAAGGCUGUGAGGAGACUCGUGCUACGGCCUAAUGUUUAACAAUUGAUUGAACAACCAACCCUAAGCCUCUGGUCACGCGGACAAGCCAAUCAAUGAACUAAUGCUAUGCCACACAAAGCAAAUUUUUGUACAGUUGGAUCACUACAUCUAUUGUUUUAUAAUUGCCUUUUGUAGAAUGUGAUAAUUGAAUUGUUGAACUGCUUCAAUGACGUUGUUUCAACACGGGGUGCAGUGAAAAGAAACUUAUUAUGUAUAAAACCCAUAAUUAAUUGACGAUGGCAAAUAAUUUCACGUUAUUUUUGGACGAGGUUGGAAUGAUCAACUACAAAUUGGAACGAAUUAGAUAAUAUUGCUUCUAGUUUACGUACCUAGUUUGUUUUCCAUUACCAAUCCAAUAAUUAAAAAUAUAUAUUCUCAUAGAAAAAAUUGAGCAUUUUCAAUUACUUCUAAAAAUAAUUUGCAACCAAGUUUUUCGAAUUGCUGCUUCCAAUCGGAAGUUGUUUCUGAACAAUUUAUGCGUGUUUACAAAUGAGGAGAAAUAUCCGGUUUUGGGUAAAAGAAAUGUGAACGUGACACGAGUCCACAACUUUGACGCUGACGCAAUGCGAUGACUACAUCAGUUUACGUCAAACGUAACCAGAAAAAAAGAGGAAAAGAGUGCUGUUACAAAGAACUCGAAAAAUGUUGAAAAAUCAAAAUUGUUUGCCUCGUAGCUAAUUGUAGAUAAUAAAUAAUUUCCAUUCCAUGCUUUAUUUUUGUAUUUAUCUCCAUGAAGUCAUAAAUGACUAACUACAUUAAAUUUAUUAAAGUUAAUUCCUGCUCUUAUUCUAUUUAUGUCGGAAUGAAAACGUUUUAGUUAAGGCAUGUA